rnacentral:rRNA from 1 species
UCGAACGAAAAGAGGGAAAGAGCUUGCUCUUUCCGGAAUUGAGUGGCAAACGGGUGAGUAACACGUAAACAACCUGCCUUCAGGAUGGGGACAACAGACGGAAACGACUGCUAAUACCGAAUAAGCCCACGGUACCACAUGGUACAGUGAGAAAAGGAGAAAUCCGCUGAAAGAUGGACUCGCGUCUGAUUAGAUAGUUGGUAGGGUAAAGGCCUACCAAGGCGACGAUGGGUAGCCGGACUGAGAGGUUGAACGGCCACACUGGAACUGAGAGACGGUCCAGACUCC